UAGACGGCGUGAAAACGGAAACAAGUUUCCCAGAGACUAUGGGUUGAGGAGGAAUUGGAAGUUUGUCGGCUUAGACCUGGUGUCGUUCCAUCAGUGUUAAACUUCCGGGCUCAUCUUGGAAGAGUAUGUGCCAGAAAGACCACAACCAAGCAGCCUUGAGAUCUUAGGCAGCGUCUCCCUCAGGUCCCUCUCUAUCUCCCUGCACAUCCACCAACCACUGGAACACAUCUCCAAAGUUCUGCUGGGCCAGCUCAGCUUCCCCUCAGAAGAAGUUCCACCACCUGCCAGAUGAAGGAGCCUUUUGAGAGGCAGCUGGCAUCGUGAUUGGACUGUACUUUGGUCUGUUCCAAUCCAGCUUCAGGUCCAGAGACGGCAGGCGGGACGAGUCAACGGAGGCCGGGUGGACGAAGGCAUGCAGCUGAGUACAAUCCAGAAAACAGAGGAGGAGUGCAGGGCUCAGGGCCAGAACAAACAUUAGCAUCAUAUGUCUCUUAGAAAACAUCAUAGUAUAGCCUUUGGUAUGAAAAAAACGCCAUAAUAUACAUCGUAUAUUGUACAAAUAACAAGUCAAAGGAAAGAGACAUACAUUGUAGAAUUGUAGUAAUUGUGGGCUGACUGAUUUACUGAUUAUCAGUAUUUUAUUUUUUACUGAUUAAUGGUAAUAAAUACAUUUUAAAAUGGUGCUACUUUGGCUCUGAACCUUGAUCUACUUGUGGUCGCUCUGUCUUCUGGAGUGAUUUGAUUGGUUAUACGUAACGAAUAAAACUCCUUUAACUUAACAUCUGUAAACAAAACAAAAACGUAUCAACAAAGUUUUCUGUUAAAGUUUGUGUUCUUGUAAGUUUAACUCCAAGAUUUUAAAUACUUUCAUUUACUGCAAAUGAAUAUCUAUUCCAAAUGUCUCACUAAUAAUCAUUAUCAGCCUUAAAAACCCACAAAACACCCCUCUAUACUCGACCACACUUAGUACAGUCCGGUUCCCCCUUCUAUAAAUCUG
ensembl:lncRNA